UUUUUUUAAAAAAUAAUAUUGAUAGUAAUAAUUCACCUUCUAAAAUUUCAUAUUUUUAACCUAUAAUAAAAAGUGUAACAAAGCUAAAAAUUAUAGGUUAAAAUCCCCUAAAAUAUUUACAUAAAAAAAUGACAAAUUUUUUUAAAUAUUAUCAAAAAUUAGGUGGUCACACACUUUAAUCAAAAAAUCUUCAGCGGCGGAUCUCGUCCACGCCGAAGCCAUCGACGACAACCUUCUUCCAUUGCACACACAUAGAUAGAGCAACGAAGGAGAACGGACAGAGUUUAAGAGGAGAAAGCGGAAAAAAUGAGCAUUGAAAAUCCUCUAUCGCCGCAGACUCUCAUCCUCACCAUCAACACACACACACACGCAGAACUAAAGAAAGCUGGGGGUUUUGAUUUUGCUUCUGAUUUUUGUUCUUCCAAAGCUUCUGCUUGAGUUUGUUCAUACAGAAAGUUUCGACCUCUGUUUCGAUCUCGGCUCAUGGAGUUUGAUUGAGGUCGCAUUUGGGUUUUGAGCUAUCCGUUUGCAAAUCCGAGGUGCCGAUUCGAGGUCCGUUGUUGAAUUCUGUCGCGGUUUCGUCGAGUUUUGUUAAAUGUUUUCAGAUUUCAUUUGAAAAAAAAUGUAUAUCUAAGGUCAUCUCUUCUGUCCCACUCUGCUUCAAAUGAUAUAUGGUUGCUUGUUUGUCUGAUUCUUUAUCUCCUAUGUUAUUAAAUGUGAAAAAUGGACUUAAACUUGGUUUGCUAUCUGAUUUUCAUUUCAUUUGUGCUCGUUAUUCCCUGCUUUGGGAAGUGAUUCGUUGGUUUGAAAAUGACGAAUUUUUUUUGAAGGUUUGAUUCCCUAACUCUAUCAUGCUUUAUAUCCUUUCUCAUUUUGGGAAAAUUUAGCUUAUUUGGAUUUAGAUAUCAUGGAAAUCUACUGUGUGCUUUGAUUUGGUAUUCUUCUAUAUUCUCACAGUAUGCUCAAUUUGGAAUCAAGUGGUAGUUAUCCUGAAUAUGAAGUGAUCCAAUAGUGAAAAAUUGUUACUUGAUUUGGAAAGUAGUAAUUCAUGUGUCAAUAGUUAUAAUGCAGCUUAUUCUACUCUACGAUUCUUUGGCUUAGUCAUGAUACCUAAACCCUAAUUCGGGUGUGCUUUCAUAUGACCCGACCCUAACUUCAAACAAUAAUUAAAAUAAAUAUGUUAUAAAUCUGGGUGUGCAUUUCAUGUGACCCGACUUCAAUUUCCAAUAAUGUUAAAUAAAUAAAUAUAUCGCAAAACGCGGUUGCAUUUCAUGUAGCGUGGUCCACGAUGUGUUUUCAAAAACAAAUAAGUGUAUGGCAAUCAUGAAUUUUCUAAAAACAUUAAAAGCGAUUAGAAAGUUAAAAUGCACAUAGGUUUUAAAAUGUAUAAUUAAUCAGAUAAUUAUGCCAAUAAUAAUAGUUGAGUGACCGUGUAAAAAUUACAGAACCCGGAAAUGCCUAACACCUUCUCCCGGGUUAACAGAAUUCCUUACCCUGAUUUCUGUGUUCGCAGACCAUAAUUAAAGUCAAACAUUCCUCGAUUCAGAAUUUCAACCAGUGACUUGGGACACCAUUAAUUAUCCCAAGUGGUGACUCUGAUUUUAAUAUAAAUAAAUUCCGUUUCGAUUGUCACUUAAAUUGGAAAAAACUCCCUUAUACUCCCUUCCGGGGGUAGGAAAAAGGAGGUGUGACAUAGCCGGGCAUGAGUUAAUGAGUUUUCUCGACGCUUACUUCGGGUACAACCAAAUUAAGAUGAACCCGGAGUAUCAGGAAAAGACUAUUCAUAACGAAUUUCAACACAUAUUGCUAUAAUGUGAUGCCCUUCGGGCUAAAGAAUGCCGGAGCCACUUAUCAAAGGCUUGUAAACAAGAUGUUUGAAAAACAAACUGGGAAAACCAUGGAAGUUUAUAUAGACGAUAUGUUUGUUAAGUCUUUGAACGUAGGUGAUCAUCUUAAGAAUUUGCAAGAAACUUUUGACAUCCUAAGGAAGCAUAACAUGAAGCUUAACCCCGAGAAGUGCGCUUUCCAGGUCAGCUCCGGCAAGUUCCUAGGUUUUCUGGUAUCACAAAAGGGGAGGUAAACCCCGAUAAGAUCAAAGACAUCGAAGACAUCCCGGACCAGAUGUCAAGCGUGAAAGAAGUUGAAAGGCUCACAGGGAGAUUGGCCACUUUGAGUAGGUUUAUUUCCCGGUCAUCAAAGAAAUGUCAUCGUUUCUUCGCACUACUCAAAAAGAAAAACAACUUCCCCCAGAAUGACAGCAGGCUUUGAGAGAUUUGAAAAGGUACUUGUCAAGUCCUCCGUUACUAUCAAAACCGUAGGAAGGUGAAACACUAUUAAUCUACCUAGCAAUAUCGGAGGUAGCAGUAAGUGUCGGUUUACUCUGUGAGGAAGAAGGUACGGAAUCUCUCAUUUAUUACGUUUGUAGAAUUUUAACAGGGGCAGAAACUCGCUACCCGCAUUUGGAAAAGUCGGCCUUAGCUCUCAUAGUCGCAGCUCGGAAGCUGAGGCCUUACUUCUAAUGUCACCCGAUAGUUGUGGUGACCACCUUUCCCUUGCGGAAUAUCCUUCAUAAACCCAAACUCUCAGGUAAAUUUGUCAAGUGGGCCGUCGAAGUGAGUGAAUUCGACAUAGAGUAUAAACCUAGGACUUCGAUUAAGUCACAAGUUUUGGCCGACUUUGUGGCCGAUUUUAGUUCGGGAUUGUUGCCUCUAGCAACCAAAAAAGCAGUGAUAGUGAUAGAAUCAGCAUCGGGGGCUUGGACCUUAUUUUACAGAUGGAGCUUCCAACAUAAAGGGGUCCGGGCAUGGCAUAAUAUUAACCAUGCCUUCUAGAGAAACCCUAAGGCAGGCCAUAAGAAUGAUCCUUUUAACUAACAACGAAGUAGAGUAUAAAACUUUGAUUGCAGGACUCAAACUGACCCGGGGACUAGAUUCCGAGGUCAUAAAAAUCAAAUGCGACACCCAGCUGCUGGUAAAACAGGUCUACGGGAUCUUCAAAACCAAAGAGUAGCGUAUGCAACAAUACAUAGUGAAUGUCCAGGCUCUGCUAGCUCGAUUUUGGGAGUGGUCUAUCACUUAUAUCCCGAGGGAAGAAAAUGCAGAAGCAGAUGCAUUAGCUAACCCCGAUGCAUCAAUGGAAAUGAAGGGAUCAGAUUCCGGGAUGGUAUUAUAGCUCAUGCACUCGGUUCUGGACGCAGAUAGCUACUAUGAGGUAAAUACGACUAAUUUGGUCUGGGACGGGAGGAAUGAGGUCAUCAAUUAUAUCGAGCACGGGAAGUUGCCCGAAGACUCCAAGGCGUCCGGGGUGUUGCAUGCCAAAGCAACACGAUAUAGCUUUAAAGGAGGCCAAUUGUACAUGAAAUAUUUCCAUGGCCCGAUGCUUGGGAGUGUGCGAAACAAAUUAUGUUAUGCAAGACGUCCACAAAGGGAUAUGUGGAAAUCAUUCGGGCGCAUAUUAAAACUGGUAAGGGCAGGAUAUUAUUUUCCCCGAAUGGAACAAGACGCCAAAACUUUCGUACAAAAAUGUGAUAUGUGCCAAUGCUACGCUCCACUAGUACAUCAACUAGCAUAACUGUUACAUUCAAUUCUAUCUACAUCAACUAGCAUAACUGUUACAUUCAGUUCUAUCUCCAUGGCUGUUCAUGAAGUGGGGAAUGAGUAUCGUCAGACCAUUUCCCCUGACCCCUGGUAAGGUAAGAUUUAUUUUAAUUUUAACUGACUAUUUUUCUAAGUGGGUUGAAGCAGGUCCUUAUCAGAAGAUCAGCAAACGUGAAGUGGUGGAUUUCUUGUGGGAGAACAUAAUUUGCAGAUUUUGGAAUACUAAAAGAGAUAGCCUGCGAUACGAGCCACAGUUUAUAGGCUCAAAGGUCACAAAGUUCCUUGAAGACUUGAAAAUCAAAAGAAUCACAUCUUCGCCCUAUCAUCUUAGCGCAAAUGGUCAAGCGUAAUCGACGAACAGAGUUAUUAUACAAAUUCUCAAGAAGAGGUUGGAAGCGGCUAAAGGUAAAUGGCCUGAGGAUUUGCCUGGGGUGCUAUAUGCGUACUGAACAACGACCAAAUCAAGCACAUGAGAAACUCCUUUCUCCCUUAUGUACGGAGUAGAAGCCUUAAUCCCAGUGGAAGUGGGAGAGCAUACCUUAAGCCCGUUGAUCUCGUUCCCCCAAAGAUCACGUUGAUUAUCAGGAGGGGGGGUCUUUUCCUAUUUUUGAGUUCUCCGUAUUAUCACGGUUGCGAUCAUAAUUGUUCUUGUCCCGAUCACCGUCAUGACCCGGAUUUCCCACCCUCGGGAGUCAUGAUGACGCCUACUAGUGAAAACUAGGCAAGCCAACCAUUUGAAUUAUUUACCUUUUCCCCAUUUUUAAUCCUUUAACAAUUAAAAGCCAACAUUGUAUAAACAGCGGAAAUUAAAAGUGGAAGACUAAAACGUACAAUAUUAAUAAAGAUGCCAAUACAAAUCCAUGCAUAACUACCCAAGACUGGUGUCACAAUUUCACAGACUGUCUAGGAAUACUACAAAUAAAGGUUCGAAAGAGUUAUUACAACACUGUCUCUGAAAUACAUAAAAGAAACAGAAUAAAAGGAUAGAAGGAGACGCCAAGGCCUGCGGACACCUGCAGGACUACCUCGGAUCUCCGAAUGGACUGAAGCAGCAACCCAAAGCUACGGUCCGUAUGCUCCAGUACCGGGAUCUGCACACACUGCAGAGUGUAAUAUUAGCACAACCGACCCCAUGUGCUGGUAAGUGCCUAGCCUAACCUCAGCGAAGUAGUGACGAGGCUAGGACCAGACUACCAAAUAAACCUGUGCAGUUAAAUCAUAUACAUCAAAAAAUAAAAGCAGAUAUUCACAGUAAAGGUGGGAAGGGGGAAGAACAUGCUCCGGGGAGUAUCGAAUAAUAACAGAAUAUCAAAAAGGAAGGUAAAAAAACCAAAAUCAAUUACCAACAAGGAUAAGGAAAACAAACACAGAAUUCACUUUCAUUUCAUAUCUUGUUGCAGGCGUGCAACCCGAUCCCACUUCACAUAUCUCGUUGCAGGCGUGCAACCCGCUCCUAUUACAUAAGUCUUGUUGCAUGCGUGCAACCCGCUCCCAUUUCAUAUAUCUCGUUGCAGGCGUGCAACCCGCUCCCAUUUCAUAUAUCUCGUUGUAUGCAUGCAACCCGCUCCCAUUUCAUAUAUUUCCGUGGCAGCGUGCCACCCGAUCCCAUUUCAUAUCAACAACAAUCACAAAGGAAUCUUUACAAGAGAACAAGUGUAUAACAACAACAUCCCGGCAAGGGAAACAAUAUCAUAAACAAUAACAUCCCGGCAAGGGAACCAACAAUGAUAAUCAACAUUUAAGUAUGAAUAAAUCUCAACAGAGUCACAACAAUUACAACACUAGACCCACGUGCAUGCUUGACACCGACGUAUAGAUACUCAUCAACAUGCAUAUACGCCGUACUCCACAAUUAACACAUAGCAAAUAAGACACAACUCCUAAUCCCUCAAGCUAAGGUUAGAUCAAACACUUACCUCGAUGGCACAAACACAAUUCAAGCCUCAACUACCGCUUUAUCUCUCGUUUCCACCACCAAUUCGCUUGUAUCUAGCCACAAGUUACUUAACUAUAUUAAUAAAUGCUAAAUGAAUCAAUUCUAAUACAUGAAAAUAAGUUUUUCAAUGUUUUCCCCAAAAAGUCAAAAAUCGACCCCGGGCCCACAUGGUCAAAACCCGAGAUUUGAACCAAAAGUCGAUUAUCCAUUCACCCCAACUUAAAUUCAUUUUAAAAUCAAAAUUUAUCAUUUUUUACAGAUUUUUACAUAAUGGCUUUCGGAUACGCACCCGGAUUGUGCACGUAAAUUGAAGUGAGACAGAAAGAGGUUUUUAAGGCCUCGGAACACAGAAAUUUUUUCUAAAACGAGUGAUUACCUUUUGGGUCAUCACAAUCACCUAAGAAUUCCCUGAGAUGGCCAUUAUUAAGUAGUUUCAUUACCUCUUCACGCAGAUGUCGGUUGUCCCCAACCCUGUGGUUAUUCAUCCCGUGGUAUUUGCAUCACAAAUUGGGAUCCCUUUGGCUGGGAUCAAACCUCAUCGACUUUGGGAACCGUGCUUCUUCAAUGGUCCUCAUAGCCGAUACCAACUCCACUACACUGAAGUUGAAGUUGUAUUUUGAUAGCCUAGGGUAGGAAGGAUCCUGUGUACCUGAUGUUUCUUUGUCAUGCAAUGAUCUGCCGCCAUUCACAUACUAUUCCUCCCCACUAAAAAAAGCAAUUGAGAAUCUCGAGAACCUAAACAAAUAUAUAGAAGUGAGCGUACCCUAUUAGCCAACAUCAUCAACCCCAUUUUUCAUUGGGUCAAAGCUUAAAAUCUGAUGAAUAGAAGGAAAGGAGAUCAUAAAAUUAGGCGAACGACUUGAUUAUAGUAUAAGUCGGAUGUUUCCGUGAGCAGUAAGCAGCAGAUCUCCCUUUAUCACUUCACUCUAAAGAGAGGAGUUUCGAGUGACUUUUUUCUUUGCUCUUCGAUAGCCCUGUUCCGACCGUGAUCAGUUCUUCUGUCAGUAACGAACCUGUCUGUCGAUCAAAAAUCUCUAUCGCGUCCUUCGACCCAUUUAUAGGGCAAAAACCGGCCCCUCAAAGAUUGUCUAUCUGUGUCGAAAUCGUCUUUUGGUUUUUCUUUAUUCUUCUCCUGACCUUUUGCCGAUGACGGGAAGCCAAUCUGAUCAUCUUCAAUCCUUAUCUUAGACUUGUACCGGUUGUGGACAUCCGCCCAAGUCAUCGCUUGGAACUCAAGAAAUCUUUGCUUUAAUUUCUGGGAAGCAUCAGAACUUCUCGGAUUCAGACCUUAGCUGCCCAUUCAUCCGGAACAGUUGGGAGCAACAUCCUCUCUUUUUGAACCGGGUGACGAAUUCCCGCAGCAACUUGGAUUCUUCUUGUGCAAUUCUGAAUGCUUGCACCUUUCUGGCCCCAGUAUUGGCCUUAAUAAAAGAAUCUACGAGCACCUCAAAUGAAUCUAUGAAAUGAUCGGGUAACAAUGAAUUCCACGUCAAGGCUCUCUUUGUGAGAGUCUCUCCGAAUUUCUUCAGCAAAACAGAUUCAAUCUUGUGGGGAGAUAAUCGUUACCCUUCACCACCGUUGUAUAAGUGGUAACAUACUCUUGAGGGUCCAAAGCCCCAUUAUAUUUUGGCACGUCGGGCAUUUUAAAUUGCUUCGAGAUCAAUUCUGGUGUCGCGCUUGGUUUGUACGACAACUGAAUACUUCUUUGAGUUCGGCCCUUUCAGCACCGGUGGUGCACCGGGAUUUGGUCUAUGCGGGCGUUCACUUCACUCAUAAACCGCAGAAGCUUGCUUUUGAAGGGAUCGCUCUCGUUGUUGUGUCUGGAACCACUCCCCCGGCCCAUCAGAGCCAACCUCGCCCCUCGGGGUGUUGUUGUCGACCCUCUGCGUUGUUUGAUUUGGGGGAGCGACGGGAGGAACUAGACCUCGUCCAUUUGCGUUAUUGGAAGCACCCGACAAUGCCUGUUUUAUUUUUGUCAUAACUUUAUCCUGCCGUGUGAGAUGGCCUAGAAUGACCUCUUGUUGCUCUUGCAGGACACUUACCGCUUCACCAACAUGCUCCUUUUCAGCAUCAUCUGGAGUAGCCUCCCGAACAUGUAGCGGGUACUGCCUGCCAUGGACCGACGUAGCAUUGUUUCCCUCAUUGCGGGUGUCACUAAUUGAAUCUUCGUGAUGAGGCUGGUUUCCUUGGGCCUCAAGAUUGUGUGUGUUGUUAACACCGUUAUCUGCCAUUUUCUGUGAUUUUUUGCUAAGGACAAAUAAUCAGAAUACGUUAGUAAAAGAUGCAAAGAUCAACUUAAUUACAUGGCUGUCUAGGCCCCACUGUGGGCGCCAAACUGUUUCCCGUAAAAUGAUACACUUGAAUUUAUACGUGAUUUCUAGCUCUGUUUCAAAAGGCAGAAUUGGGAUUUGCCCGGGGAUCGCCCUGAGGCGGAGCACCCGUAAAACGCCCCUAGACUUAUGUGUGGGGCUUAGUUCUGUGAGACUUAGGCCUCCGCCGGACACGCCCAACACCCAGUGUAUCGGGCGCGCCUAAUAGAACUUUAUGCAAUUAUAUGUAACUAACCUUGUAAAUCCUCAAAUUUUCUUAAUAAAUCGUUGAUUAAAAUUACUAUUUUUCUUAAUUAUAAAUUAUUAAGUUGAGAGUAUUUUAUGUUAUAAUUAAAAUAAAAGUUAUUGCACGUUAUCCACUCAGACUGCUACAAUAGUAAAUUUUAAAUAAAUCAUUCAUUUAAAAAUAUUUAUUUAUUAACUUUUGUUAUGUCUUUAUUAUAUAAUAGUCCAUAAUAUUUUUUAUAAUUAUUUUUCUAACUAAUAUUUUUUUUCAUGUUUAUGAGAUACAAUACUUAUUAAUAUAAUAGCUCAGUAUUAGCUAGUAACUAUUUACAAAUAAUUAGUUAUCAUGGUAUAAUAUGGUGANNNNNNNNNNNNNNNNNNNNNNNNNGAUUUAUUAAUCCUUAAGAGAUACAUAUAAGUUUUCGGAUCGAAUAUAUUACUUUUGAUGUUUGAGUUGUAACGACGUUGUAGCUAAAUUACAUAUUAUGAUGUAUGCCAUACUUUUUGUAUUAUUCAUAGUUGAAUUAUAAUUUAUAAAUAUUUUAAAUAGAUGAUUUGUGAUAAUUUUGUGAUUUUAAUGUAAUUUUUAUAAUUAUUUUUUAUUUUAUACUGUUGAUGUUUAGCUUAAAGCAUAUAUAUUUCUAUGUAUAUCGCCUCAUAUUUUACUUUUAUUUCGUGAAUUUGGGAUGUUAAAUGCUAUGAUUUAUAUUAAUUUGAAGUAUUUUUAUGUGUAGGAAUGAUUCAGAAGCAAUUGGGGGCGAAACGCGCAAGAUUUGAGCCAAAACGAACGAAACCGGGAAACUUGCGAAUUUGGGCGCCACCCUACCUGUGGCGCCAAAAACAGUAGCUAAAAAUAUUGGAGCGUCGUGGAGGGCGCCUGGCGCUAGCCAGGGCACCCAUGACGUGAAUUUUCUCCAAUUUCGCCCAGGACAAGGUUAUUUCAGCCCUAGACCUACCCAACA
rnacentral:lncRNA from 1 species